rnacentral:rRNA from 1 species
GGGUGAGUAACGCGUAGGCAACCUACCCUCAUGUUGGGGAUAACAGGGCGAAAGCCCUGCUAAUACCGGAUGUGACCACGGAGCGGGAGCUCUGUGGUGAAAGCGGGCCACUCUAUAGAAGCUCGCGCGUGGGGAUGGGCCUGCGUCCUAUCAGCUGGUUGGUGAGGUAACGGCUCACCAAGGCAUCGACGGGUAGCUGGUCUGAGAGGAUGAUCAGCCACACUGGCACUGGAACACGGGCCAGACUCCUACGGGAGGCAGCAGUGAGGAAUUUUGCGCAAUGGGGGAAACCCUGACGCAGCAACGCCGCGUGGGUGAUGAAGGCCUUCGGGUCGUAAAGCCCUGUCAGGUGGGAAGAACCCUUGGGGAGGGAACACCUUCUCAAGUUGACGGUACCACCAGAGGAAGCACCGGCUAACUCCGUGCCAGCAGCCGCGGUAAUACGGAGGGUGCAAGCGUUAUUCGGAAUUACUGGGCGUAAAGCGCGUGUAGGCGGGAGAGAAAGUCUGAUGUG